rnacentral:lncRNA from 1 species
AGCAUCUUUGUCCAGUUGUCUAUAGUUUUGUGUAUACAAAGUGAAUUGUUUACAGUGAUGCUUGGUGGUUUUUGGAACGAAGAAAUUUUUAGUGACGUACGAAUGAUGAUUGCCGUUAUUCUUCAUUUAUACAGUGGCAGUGGAAAUUGUUUUCAGUUCUUCAGAAAGCGUUGGCGUCUCUGCGAAUGUUAAGCCUGUGGGCGUGCAGCCAUAACCUGGCUGAGAAUUCUUAUUGUGUCAGGGAUUACGAACUACUUAAUGGUUACGAAAGUAAACGAAUCUGUCCAUACGGAUGCAUAAGAUUAAAACUGUGCGCCGGACCGAGACUCGAACUCGAGACCUUUGCCUAUCGUGGGCAAGUACUCUACCAUCUACAGCAAAGAAGGGGCCAGAGAAAUGUUUUGCAAGCAGCAGCACUCUUCAAGGCUGAAUGAUUUAACUGUACAAUCUGAUGUGUAUGUAGAUUCCCCAGUGUUCACAGGUCCCAGCGCAUGGCAUCCGUCUCUACAGAGCUGCCACUACAUUGCUGGAUCUCUGCAACCUCAGUUUCAGAUAUCUUCAAAGUGUGCAGAACCUUUUGUUUGCACUAAUUGUGGCAAACAUUACCGCUUUAAGGGGAACUUGCAACGACAUGUGAAACAUGAGUGUGGCAAGUUGCCACAGUUUCAGUGUCCCUACUGCCCGAGGCAGAGCACUCAAAAGAGCAAUCUGAUUCGCCAUAUUAAAAAGUUUCAUCCUAUGGAACCGAUUGUAUAAAAUAGUGUACAUGUACUUCAGUAGUUGUUUUAUGAUUUGUUUCAAGUGUGAAACAAUACUGUUAACUAUUGUAGUACUGCUUGCAUAUGGUACUGUUGAACAGAACAUAGAUUGACUGAAUCUGGAAUGUUACUGCCAUAGUUGCUUUUGUAAUUAGAUGAAAUGAUAUUUGUUGUUAUUAAAGGCAGUGAUAAACUGCUCAGAUCA